GACGAACGCUGGCGGUGUGCUUAACACAUGCAAGUCGAGCGGUAAGGCCCUUUCGGGGGUACACGAGCGGCGAACGGGUGAGUAACACGUGGGUGACCUGCCCUCAGCUCUGGGAUAAGCCUGGGAAACCGGGUCUAAUACUGGAUAUGACUCCAUGACGCAUGUUGUGGGGUGGAAAGCCUUGUGCGGCUGAGGAUGGGCCCGCGGCCUAUCAGCUUGUUGGUGGGGUGANGGCCUACCAAGGCGACGACGGGUAGCCGGCCUGAGAGGGCGACCGGCCACACUGGGACUGAGACACGGCCCAGACUCCUACGGGAGGCAGCAGUGGGGAAUCUUGCGCAAUGGGCGAAAGCCUGACGCAGCGACGCCGCGUGAGGGAUGACGGCCU
rnacentral:rRNA from 1 species